UACGGAGGGUGCAAGCAUUAAUCGGAAUAAUUGGGCGUAAAGGGCGCGUAGGCGGAUUAGAAAGUCAUUUGUGAAAUUCCGGAGCUUAACUCCGGAGCUGCAAGUGAAACUUCUAGUCUAGAGGGUAGUCGGAGGAAACGGAAUUCCACGUGUAGCGGUGAAAUGCGUAGAUAUGUGGAAGAACACCGGUGGCGAAAGCGGUUUCCUAGAUUACACCUGACGCUGAGGCGCGAGAGCGUGGGGAGCAAACAGG
rnacentral:rRNA from 1 species